ensembl:lncRNA
UGAACUUGAACUCACAUCCAAGUCCCAGGCUACGAGGCUGGAAUCAGGUCAUCCAGAGAAGCCAGGGCUGUGUGGCAAAGAUGCUUCUCGCACAGCUGGAAUCUAGAUAGCAGAGGACCCCAGGCUGCCUUAUCUGGGACCCAGUGUUAGAUCAUCUUCGCUCCUCUCUCACUGGGAGUGUGCAAAGGGCAUGGCUGCACCCAGGGGAGCCCCUGCAGUGUGCGUUCAAAGGCCUGACAAUUCUGACCUUUCCCACCUCCUCCGAUGCACCAACCCUAAUAUGUCCUACAGAUGCUGUGAAACCCAUGAUCCCUGCCAAGAGCAGCAGCCAGAGAGCAAAGCCCCACAGGACAGGGAGCAGUGGUGCAGAGGUGAUCUGCUUGGUUCCAGUGAGGCUCCUGACCUGUGGUUCAAUGGCUCUGGACACAAGUGACUCUGAUCCUAGCAACCAGGCCUGGUGCUGGGAGAUGUGAAUUCUGAGCAUGGAGGGACUCGAAAGUCCAUCACAGUUGGGACCCAGCCUCACCUUGGCCAAGCAGAAAACCUUCCUAGCUGUGUGACCUUGGACAGCUUAAGUAAUUUUUCUGAAGUCAAGAUCUUUAUGACACUUAGGUCAGUUUCCCAAGGCUGAAUCCAGGACACUGAGCCACAAGCAAAAUUUGAAUAACUGAUAAUGAUCAGUGAGCUUGCUGUAUGUCCAGGACCAUGCUAAAUGAGACAUGUGUAUACAUGUAUUUGUAUAUGUAACAAGUGUGUAUACAAACAUACACAUAUAUAUUCUAAUUUAGCAAUCUCAAAAAUCCUAACAGGUGGACAUAUUAUCUUUAUCUUAUAGAUAUGGAGAGAGGUUGAGUAACAUCAAACCUAGAACUGGAAUUGUAUUUACACAUCAAAGACCAUUAGGGAUGAGAUAAUGGCUAAAAAGGAUAUGAAAAGGAAACACUGGACAAAGGGGUGCGUGGAUACUAACCAGGCUGAUUUCUGGCGGUCCCACCUGCUUGUCAUGCCAAUUAAAGGUGGAACUGAUAUGAAGCAUAAGGGAGUAGAGGCAACCUGCUGAGGAGUGUUGAAUAACCAGAAGACCAGUUAUACCAGUAUUGAAGUGGGAGCAGUAGCUUUAACUAUCAUAAUCUUAUGUGGAUGUAAAGCACCUUGAAAUAAAGUAUGACCAGAGCACUGUUAUUUAUUUUAUCAAUCAUAGUUGUCUUCGAUGUUAAAUUCCUAUAGAAUGUCAACAUAUAAUAAUUAUAAAGUUUUACAGGUAAAAUUUGAGAUCAAGGGCCAGGGAUUUAACUCAGUGGCACUGUGCUUGUCUCGCAAGUGCAAGGUCCUGAGUUCGAUACCUGGUACAAAAGAAAAAAAUUGAGAUCAAGGGC